rnacentral:rRNA from 1 species
GGAGUAGCAAUACUCCCGCCGGCGACCGGCGCACGGGUGAGUAACACGUAUGAAACCUGCCCGUAGCAGGGGGAUAAGCGGAAGAAAUUCCGUCUAAUACCGCGUAACAACCCAUGGAGGCAUCUCCGUGGGUUUAAAGGAAGCGAUUCCGGCUACGGAUGGUCAUGCGUCGCAUUAGCUUGUUGGCGGGGUAACGGCCCACCAAGGCGACGAUGCGUAGGGGUUCUGAGAGGAAGGUCCCCCACACUGGUACUGAGACACGGACCAGACUCCUACGGGAGGCAGCAGUGAGGAAUAUUGGUCAAUGGCCGCAGGGCUGAACCAGCCAAGUCGCGUGAGGGAUGACGGUCCUAUGGAUUGUAAACCUCUUUUGUCAGGGAGCAAAGGGCGCCACGUGUGGCGUUUUGCGAGUACCUGAAGAAAAAGCAUCGGCUAACUCCGUGCCAGCAGCCGCGGUAAUACGGAGGAUGCGAGCGUCAUCCGGAUUUAUUGGGUUUAAAGGGUGCGCAGGCGGAAUGUCAAGUCAGCGGUAAAAUUUCGGGGCUCAACCCCGUCGUGCCGUUGAAACUGGCGUUCUUGAGUGAGCGAGAAGUAUGCGGAAUGCGUGGUGUAGCGGUGAAAUGCAUAGAUAUCACGCAGAACUCCGAUUGCGAAGGCAGCAUGCCGGCGCUCAACUGACGCUCAUGCACGAAAGCGUGGGUAUCGAACAGGAUUAGAUACCCUGGUAGUCCACGCAGUAAACGAUGAAUACUAACUGUCCGGGCAGAAUGAUGCCUGGGUGGUACAGCGAAAGCGUUAAGUAUUCCACCUGGGGAGUACGCCGGCAACGGUGAAACUCAAAGGAAUUGAC